rnacentral:rRNA from 1 species
GAUGAACGCUAGCGAUAGGCCUAACACAUGCAAGUCGAGGGGCAUCACAUGAAGUAGCAAUACGGAUGGUGGCGACCGGCGCACGGGUGAGUAACACGUAUGCAACCUGCCUUCAACAAGGGGAUAACCCGUUGAAAGACGGACUAAUACCCUAUAACACAGGGGUCCCGCAUGGGAAUAUUUGUUAAAGGACAACCGGUUGAAGAUGGGCAUGCGUUCCAUUAGCUAGUUGGCGGGGUAACGGCCCACCAAGGCAACGAUGGAUAGGGGAACUGAGAGGUUUAUCCCCCACACUGGUACUGAGACACGGACCAGACUCCUACGGGAGGCAGCAGUGAGGAAUAUUGGUCAAUGGACGCAAGUCUGAACCAGCCACGUCGCGUGAAGGAAGACGGCCCUACGGGUUGUAAAGCUCUUUGAUCAGGGAUGAUAAUGACAGUACCUGAAAAACAAGCCACGGCUAACUACGUG